AUGGAGAAAGGCAUUCGACAGGGAUGUCCUAUGUCAGGACAGCUUUACAGUUUAGCAAUAGAACCUUUACUUUGCAUGAUAAGGAAAAAAUUAAAAGGCAUAGUUAUAACAGGAGGUUUAAGAAAAGAAGCUUUUGUUCUCUCUGCUUAUGCUGAUGAUGUUGCCGUUGUAAUUAAAAAUACAGAAGAUGUGCAGUGUUUAGAAGAAAGCUUAGAAAUAUAUGGCAAACUUUCUUCUGCCAAACUUAACUGGGAAAAAACAGAAGCCUUAUGGUUUGGAGCCAAUAGUAAUCAUAUUUUUAACUUACCUAAACUUCCAAAAAAUGUUAAAUGGAAUAAAACAGGUUUUAAAUAUUUAGGGGUAUUUUUAGGUAACGAUGACUUUGAAAAGAAAAAUUGGGAGGGAUUAGUAGAUAGGGUCCGCGCCAAGUUGUCUAAAUGGAAAUGGUUGCUACCCCAGCUUUCGUAUAGGGGAAGAGUUCUGAUCGCCAACAAUCUGAUCGCCUCAACACUCUGGCAUAAGUUCAUGGUCCUCGACCCACCGAUGGUUUUAAUCAGAGAGAUUCAAAAGAUGCUGGUGGACUUCUUCUGGUCUGGACAACAUUGGCUAAAGCCAGCGAUGCUCUACCUACCGGUGCAUGAAGGUGGACAGGGACUCAUCGACAUAAAGGCGAGGCUGGCAACCUUUCGAUUGAUGGCGGUCCAGCGCCUCCUCUAUCAUCAGCCUCACGUGUGGAUGGACGUUGCGUGUGCCCUGCUUCUUAAGACCAGAAGAAUGGGCUUGGACAGACAACUGUUUUUAAUGAAUUUUAAUAGAACUUCACUCGGAGGACUUACACCCUUUUAUAGUAAUAUAUUGGAGCUGUGGCAGAAUUUAAAAUUUUCCAGAGAAUGGGGGAGUCCUGAUGCCUGGAUCCUAGAAGAGCCCUUAUUUUUUAAUGAUUUCUUACACACUGCUUGUUUGUCCUCUGAUGCCAUCAGAGUUGCACUGACUAGUGCUGGGAUAUCAAAGGUUUCCGAUCUCAGAAGAGGAUGUGAAUGGAUGGAGGCAAAGGAACUGGCUGAUAUGGUGGGCUUCAGAUCCGUAAGGACCACCCAACGGUUGUUUAACGAACUAGAGUCGGCACUCCCAAGAGCAGCAAGAGACUUUUUAAUUGUAACUGCUCCAAAAACCUGUAAAGAGGCGUAUGGUUUCCCUGAUUUUAAAAUCUCCCUAAAGGAUGAAGAUUGGGAGGAAACCCCUGGAAACACAGUGACUAUGAAAAUCCCAGAGUUGAGUUGUUUUAGAACGCUUACCAGGAAAACUCUUUACAGAGUGUGUGUUAAAAACUGCAACUAUAAAAUUUUUAAAGACUUCAAAGGAACAAAAUGGACUUCAGUGUUGGAGUCAGACUCUUCCCCGAGAGGAAGCUGGAGGUCCCUGUACAAAAGACCCAUUGAGAAGAGAAUAGGAGAUCGUCAAUGGAGAAUUGUAUAUGGGAUAUUAGCCACGAACAGACACAUAGCACGGUUAGAUCCUUUAGUUGGGGAGGGAUGUCCUUUCUGUGGUGAGUCUGAGAGUGUUUUACAUGUUUUUAUGCAAUGUUCUCGUUUAAAAAAUAUUUUAGAAUUGGCAAAAUGUUGGAGUAUAAGAUUGUUGGGUUACUAUAGUUUUAAUCUGUUCAUUUAUGGUCCAAAGUACUCCGUUGAAAAAAAGAGGAAAGUGAUUACUUUAAAUUUUUUGUAUGGUUUAAUCAAGCUUGCAAUUUGGGUUACAAGGAAAAAUAGAGUGGAAGCAAAGGGGGGUGAAACAGAUCCUGUUUUUAUGGUUAAUUGUUUUAUUAAAAAAAGACUAACGUUGGAAUAUGCUUUUUACAAACUUACUAAUAAUGUGAUGUUUUUUUAUCAUUUUUGGGGAGUUGAUGGGUUUUUAUGUGAACCUGAUGGUUUUGAAGGAUUUAAAAUUAACAUUUUUUGA
rnacentral:lncRNA from 1 species